UAGGGAAUCUUCGGCAAUGGACGAAAGUCUGACCGAGCAACGCCGCGUGAGUGAAGAAGGUUUUCGGAUCGUAAAACUCUGUUGUUAGAGAAGAACAAGGACGUUAGUAACUGAACGUCCCCUGACGGUAUCUAACCAGAAAGCCACGGCUAACUACGUGCCAGCAGCCGCGGUAAUACGUAGGUGGCAAGCGUUGUCCGGAUUUAUUGGGCGUAAAGCGAGCGCAGGCGGUUUCUUAAGUCUGAUGUGAAAGCCCCCGGCUCAACCGGGGAGGGUCAUUGGAAACUGGGAGACUUGAGUGCAGAAGAGGAGAGUGGAAUUCCAUGUGUAGCGGUGAAAUGCGUAGAUAUAUGGAGGAACACCAGUGGCGAAGGCGGCUCUCUGGUCUGUAACUGACGCUGAGGCUCGAAAGCGUGGAGAGCAAACAGG
rnacentral:rRNA from 1 species